ensembl:lncRNA
GAAAGAGUGAAUCCAUUAAGGCUCAGUUAAUCCUGCCAUCUCCAGUCCUUUGUUCAUCUCAUGAUACAUAUGCUCUACAGCUGUCCAGAAGAGAACCGAUAUCCUGUAAUUACACAUAUUCCCUUCACUUUCCUUCCCUUCAUUUUACUGUAAAAAAAUUUGAUUUUUCCUUACUCACUAGCCUUGAAAGAAUUGAAAGAAAUUGAAAGAAAUUUCUUUCUAUUGAAAGAAAUAAUAGAAAUGUUUAUUUUAGGCUCAUUAGGAGAUAGGUCCAUUCUGUCAAGAUUAUGAUCUUUUAUUGAAUGGAGUUUCAUCUCAAAUGAUUUUACUUCUUCAAGCAAAUGUUUCUGCAGAUCUUGGGCCCAAGGGAAAGCAACAACACCAGCCCCUAAGCUAAACUGGCAGAGUGAGACAUGUUUGAUUACUAAAUAGGAAGUUUUGGUACCCCUUAAUCCCAUGUACUUGCCACAUACCGGGAGCACACAGCACUUUUCAAGAAGGGAAAAAGAGGCAUCAUCCUGUGUGAGCAGAAUGCUGUAAAGGAGCACCAGGGAAAGCUAACAAGAAGCUGUCAAAGUUGCUACUUCUAAGCUGAGUAUUCCAACAGGAUAUGUAAUAGUCACUGAAUCUGACCCAGUCUUCACUGUCAGAUCAUGUCUGACAUUUUGAUGGUGCGAGAUUUUUAAAAAGAAGAGGCAUUUUGCCACAAACCACUUCAGUCAGAGAAAGACUAUUAUUUUUGAGACUGCACUGCAAACCCAGAGGCACUGAACUUUCUACAUCAGAGCAGAUCGCAAACACCUCCAGUCACUUGAGAGCACGAGAUCACUGCUGAAGUCUCGGAACUUUGUCCAAACUGAGCCACUGGUUGUUGUUGUCAGGGUACUGCCUACCACAGAGAGAUCCAUGGCACAAAAGCUAAUCUAACACAACGGCUAAAAUAAGCAGAUUUCUAAUCUGAUCUGCUGUAGAGGGAGUAGUCAGGUUGCAAAAACUAGAAUUCUCAUCGUUUGAUGAGACUGCAUACAAAAACUUGCAGCAGUCACACAGUACAGUGGUUGUUCUAUGAAGCCUUAGAUGUUUUUAGAUGCUUCAGCAGUUCAGUCAUGAGACCAGUACACUUUGAUCAGCAUAGCAAAACACACCCUGGAAAAAUUAGCAGAUUAGUCUUGUGAUAAUGCGCAAAGCACAUUCAUAAGUAUGAGUGACUGGUGCAAUUCUAAAAAUGAAUAACUCCUGUGUAAUUAGAAACAUUUAUCUGUUGAAUCUUUGAUACAGUCACGAAUUGCAAAAUUUGGCAAAACAUCACUUUAACCACUUAUUUCUGCCUACUGCUGAGAGGAGUGUGAUGCAAACAAUAUCCUUUAAAAAACAACAACAGGACAACAGAAAUUAGACAACUACAUACAUGUAAAAUGGAAAAUAUGAUUUAAGUUGUUUAUUGGAAGAUUUAAUUUGGGACACCCCAAGACUGCAUGGGCCAGAACUAAUAGGAAAUGUGUAAAAUCCAAUUUACUGACCUGUCAGCAGAGCUGUCAGCAGCAUUGUCUGGGAGCUGCACCACAAGGCCAGGUGGUGCCAUAGAUCUCUCUGCUUAGGAAAACCUGAACCUCCAUUUCUCCCCCCACAAGCCAAAACCAUACACAGUGCUUAUGUGAUUUCGGUCUACACUGUUGAUAUAACUUCAGUUAGUACAAAACAUGUAAACAUUUUCUGAGACAAAAGCAAAUGAAAAAAGAUGUAAGAAAGAUAGAGACGGUAUUGCCCAGUUUCAGGGUCCGUAUUAUGAGAUGCAGGUUCAAGUUCUUGUGGAGAAGUGGUAAAUCAGCAGUGUUUGCUCUGCUUAUUUCAGUUAGAAUUAUAUGCUUUGCUCAAUUUUUCCCUCUUUCAUUUAGAUGAAAAAUAGUUGAGAUGUGCUUAAAAUCAGAGUAAGUUUUCUGCCAAAUUUAUUUCUUCAGCAGCUGACCUAAGGACUUAAACAAACAAAAAAAUCAAUUAUGUGCAGAUACUUAAUUGUGACUGAGAUCUGGAACCAAUAGGAUUACCAAGAGAAGAGGUAUGGGUAUGAGGCCCAUCUGCUGGCAGAUGUUGUCUAGAAAUUAGAUGGGGACUAGUACACCCCACCAACAAAUGACACGCUAGGAAAUCACACCAGAGCACGUAGCAUUUGACAGGUUAUUAUUGGGAAAUAUAUCGACAGCUUAUCAGCAGACAAUGCCAACACUGCCCCAGGGGAACCAUGCUGUACUAAUCCAGGACACCCAGAACAAUUGCUCUGAAGCAAACAGAUGAGAGAGCAGAUGAGAAGUCCUGGGCGCAGCAGAGCCAGCAGUGCACUAACCUGCCUCCCCAAGCUGCAGACUUCGUCCGAGUGGGAACUGAAGAGAUGAGCUGAGAGCUACGGGAGGGGAUGAAGCUGCAAUCCCAAAGAGGCAUUUGGCUGCCUCAGCAUCAUCUCAUAGCAAAACUAUCACUCCGCAACUGCAAAGAUAAAUUUUGUAAUGGAACAUAUGACACCAGAAUGUAUGCUGCAGAACAUACAUUUCUGUGUGUGUGAGAAAGUGAUCUAAUUUCACUUGCCACACUUCCUCAGAGACAGUUCUUCCUCGGCUCAUUCAGUCAACUCUGUGCCACAUUUCAAACUUCUGCAGAACAGUGGUGCUGGGCAAGAUGAGAACGGCACUGCAAGUGGGGAGGGGACAAGCGGACCAGAAACACAAAUCAAAAUCCAUCUCCCACAUGGGAAACAGACCCUUGGCAAUACAACUGGCUGAGGGGAGCCCAGCUGUGCGAUUCCAGCACCUACAGCCUCCCUACAGAUGCUGCAGGAUCAAGGAUGGCAGAAAAGGUGUUUUGUAGCCACAUAUAGAGCACAGUUAAAAAAUAAUCCUAUGGGAAGUAUGAGGUGCCCAAAUUUAUUCUGAUUUUAGUGCUCAUUGAUUUUAUUAUACUGCUCGUACAUGUUGUCUGGUAGCACUUAAUAAAUGUUUUAUGUAAAAUAAAUAAUUCAAGAAACACACAGCUUUCUUCAGGAAAGUUUAUGACAUCAUGAGAGCUAUUUUUUGUUACCAUACUGACUGUAAUGAUGAAAGAAGAAGGAAAACAAGGAUCUCGACAUUUCAAACGUGACUAUUUUCUAAAUCACAUCUGCUUUUUUGUUGCUGCAACACUAUGUUCAAGAGUACAUCAAGCAUAGAAUGUACAUUGUAAUAUCCAUUUCUGGUGCUUUUUAACAUUUCUCCUACCUUCUUUCUCUUGCUUACAAAAUUACAUUCAUAGAUAGACUGCAGUUUGCUGUAUUUUUAUGUUAUUUUGACUUUAUUUCCCAUUAUUAUCCCC